rnacentral:rRNA from 1 species
GACGAACGCUGGCGGCGUGCUUAACACAUGCAAGUCGAACGGAAAGGCCCUGCUUUUGUGGGGUGCUCGAGUGGCGAACGGGUGAGUAACACGUGAGUAACCUGCCCUUGACUUUGGGAUAACUUCAGGAAACUGGGGCUAAUACCGGAUAGGAGCUCCUGCUGCAUGGUGGGGGUUGGAAAGUUUCGGCGGUUGGGGAUGGACUCGCGGCUUAUCAGCUUGUUGGUGGGGUAGUGGCUUACCAAGGCUUUGACGGGUAGCCGGCCUGAGAGGGUGACCGGCCACAUUGGGACUGAGAUACGGCCCAGACUCCUACGGGAGGCAGCAGUGGGGAAUAUUGCACAAUGGGCGGAAGCCUGAUGCAGCAACGCCGCGUGCGGGAUGACGGCCUUCGGGUUGUAAACCGCUUUCGCCUGUGACGAAGCGUGAGUGACGGUAAUGGGUAAAGAAGCACCGGCUAACUACGUGCCAGCAGCCGCGGUGAUACGUAGGGUGCGAGCGUUGUCCGGAUUUAUUGGGCGUAAAGGGCUCGUAGGUGGUUGAUCGCGUCGGAAGUGUAAUCUUGGGGCUUAACCCCUGAGCGUGCUUUCGAUACGGGUUGACUUGAGGAAGGUAGGGGAGAAUGGAAUUCCUGGUGGAGCGGUGGAAUGCGCAGAUAUCAGGAGGAACACCAGUGGCGAAGGCGGUUCUCUGGGCCUUUCCUGACGCUGAGGAGCGAAAGCGUGGGGAGCGAACAGGCUUAGAUACCCUGGUAGUCCACGCUGUAAACGGUGGGUACUAGGUGUGGGGUCCAUUCCACGGGUUCCGUGCCGUAGCUAACGCUUUAAGUACCCCGCCUGGGGAGUACGGCCGCAAGGCUAAAACUCAAAGGAAUUGACGGGGCCCCGCACAAGCGGCGGAGCAUGCGGAUUAAUUCGAUGCAACGCGUAGAACCUUGCCUGGGUUUGACAUGGAUCGGGAGCGCUCAGAGAUGGGUGUGCCUCUUUUGGGGUCGGUUCACAGGUGGUGCAUGGCUGUCGUCAGCUCGUGUCGUGAGAUGUUGGGUUAAGUCCCGCAACGAGCGCAACCCUUGUUCUCUGUUGCCAGCACGUUAUGGUGGGGACUCAGUGGAGACCGCCGGGGUCAACUCGGAGGAAGGUGGGGAUGACGUCAAGUCAUCAUGCCCCUUAUGUCCAGGGCUUCACGCAUGCUACAAUGGCUGGUACAGAGAGUGGCGAGCCUGUGAGGGUGAGCGAAUCUCGGAAAGCCGGUCUCAGUUCGGAUUGGGGUCUGCAACUCGACCUCAUGAAGUCGGAGUCGCUAGUAAUCGCAGAUCAGCAACGCUGCGGUGAAUACGUUCCCGGGGCU